UACGGGAGGAGCAGUGGGGAAUAUUGCACAAUGGGCGCAAGCCUGAUGCAGCCAUGCCGCGUGUAUGAAGAAGGCCUUCGGGUUGUAAAGUACUUUCAGUCGUGAGGAAGGUGUUAAGGUUAAUAACCUUAGCAAUUGACGUUAGCGACAGAAGAAGCACCGGCUAACUCCGUGCCAGCAGCCGCGGUAAUACGGAGGGUGCGAGCGUUAAUCGGAAUUACUGGGCGUAAAGGGCACGCAGGCGGUUAAUUAAGUUGGAUGUGAAAUCCCCGGGCUUAACCUGGGAAUGGCAUUCAAGACUGGUUAGCUAGAGUCUUGUAGAGGGGGUAGAAUUCCAUGUGUAGCGGUGAAAUGCGUAGAGAUGUGGAGGAAUACCGGUGGCGAAGGCGGCCCCUGGACAAAGACUGACGCUCAUGUGCGAAAGCGUGGGGAGCGAAACAGGGAUUAGAUACCCGU
rnacentral:rRNA from 1 species